rnacentral:sRNA from 1 species
AGAUACAAAAAUGCAGGAUCAGGCUACAAGGGAGACCUCUUCUUUCAGAUAGAACCUGCUGGCUCAGUGAAGGGUGAAGCAGGAACAAGCUGGAGAGAUCAUAUGCAAUGCUUCUUUCUUAGUACCCUGGUACUGAGGGCCUCUGGAGGAGGGGUGUGUGGCGAGUGUGUACAUCUUCAGGGAAGGCCUCACCCCCCCAACACACACUUUAGUCCCAGAUCUGCAGAGACCAGCUCUCAUUCCCACUUCAGGGGUGGCCCGAGAAGCUCUAGCAAGCGGCCAAGAGGACUCCUCACAGUUCUGCCCAUGGGCACAUUACUGGAGACAGAAGAGGAAGCAGAACAAAAGCAAGUAGUACGUAGUCCUCGGCUGACAGUGGG